rnacentral:tRNA from 1 species
GGGGACUAUGGCUCAGUGGUAGAUUGUCUGCUUUGCGCACGGAAGGUCCCAGGUUCUAAUCCCUGGCAUCCCCA